rnacentral:tRNA from 1 species
GAUUAUUAAGCGUUGCAGUUCAUUGUUACUGAAUAGAAGAGAAUCAUUAUUUU